rnacentral:misc_RNA from 1 species
AAGGAUCGUAGCAAGUGGAAAGAAGUGGUCUCUGCCUACCCCUACGGGAAAGAGGCGUGAUUAUAUGUAUGUAUGUAAUUAAGAAAUAACUCAAUGCGUCAAUGCGAAUUCAAGUCAAUAUUUAAUAAUAAAUAUAAAUAAUGAUCCUAUUCCUAAAUGGAGAAAGAGGCCUAUGCCCAGAACUGAAAGCUAAGGUGCCAUCACGUCCUGAAAUAGCACUUACUCAAAAAUAAAGUACUAAAAGUCUAAAACUAAUCUUUUACACCUGUUUUAAAAUCUGAACUAUGUUUCAAAACAUCUUGAUUUUGUGGAUGUGAAGAAAGCAAUAAAUUAUUUUGUUUUCCGUGUGUGGUGGUAGCGCUGGCAGUGGUGGUGAAUCUACAUGGACCGAAUGGAUUUUGUGUACAAAUAUAAUAAAUGGUUGAACCAACCUACGUUAUUUUCGGGAUAAAAAAAAUUGGUUUAAUCUUCACAUAAAAGUGGCUUAAAAAUAAAAUGCGAGUUUGCAAAUUGACUCAAUAAAUAGUCGAAAUAAAAGGGGGCUUGUGCUGAAGAGGAUG